UCCCUGGUGGUUCAGUGGUUAGGACUCUGCAUUUCUACUGCUGGGGCCACAGGUUCAAUUCCUUUUCAGGGAA